CAUAGCUCAAAUGGCUGUAGGUCUCUGAAGAGUGUUUUGGCAACCGCUGAACCACUAGACUGCAAGUACUUAACUGAAAAUAGCCGUGUAGACUCCCUGCUUCUUCAGCUUCAGCGGUUUCAGCUUGCCUUGGUGCAACUGAAGCAUGAUAUAAUCUUCUUCAAGUGCUGAGACGAUGAGUGCAAUGAUGGCUGUGUCAAUCGCCGGGCAGGGAUUCAGCUCGGUUGUGAUUCUCUCAAAAUGGACUUGCUCUGGUGGGAAUGCUGAACAGAGAGGGAUGGAAGGUGUGGCAUGUGGAUCAACAGGUCAGGGCACCGUGCCUGUGAUUGGAAGGUCAUCAGUUCAAAUCCUGGAGUCAGCUGAGUGACCUGAUCCCCAAUUGCUUCAGGGAG